AUCGUUUUCCUUCACUUUGCAUCGUUAUUCUAGCUGCUGGCUGCGUAUUCUUUCCAAUUUAGCUUCAAAGUAUUUAUUUUCGAAAAGCCGAACGGCAAACAAAGGGACUGACAUAUAGUGGAGCCGAUUCGGUUCGUAUUCCAAUGACUAGGAGGUUGCAUAAAUCGGACGCGGAGCGCAUUUAAUGUAUACAAUAUAUGUAUCUGAGCGAAUACGAGUGAGGCGGAAAGAGACGAUGGAAAUUUUUGUCAGAUAGUAAAAAAUUCGGUCCGAAUCUGCAAAAUCAAAAAAGACAGUCUACUUUUACAAGAUCACAAAAUUAGUGAAUUUUUUUAUGCAAAUUGGCCUAU
rnacentral:lncRNA from 1 species